rnacentral:tRNA from 1 species
GCCACGGUGGUCUAGUGGUUAGAACGCUGACCUUGUAAUCCUGGGGUCUCGGGUUCGAUUCCCGGCGGUGCCC